rnacentral:rRNA from 1 species
CCAGGCCUUGACAUACUCGGCAAAGCUCUAGAGAUAGAGUGGAGGUUAUCCGGGAUACAGGUGGUGCAUGGUUGUCGUCAGCUCGUGUCGUGAGAUGUUGGGUUAAGUCCCGCAACGAGCGCAACCCUUGUCUUUAGUUACCAUCAUUCAGUUGGGGACUCUAGAGAGACUGCCGGUGAUAAACCGGAGGAAGUGGGGAUGACGUCAAAUCAUCAUGCCCCUUAUGGCCUGGGCUACAAACGUAAUACAAUGGCGUAUACAAAGGGAUGCGAAAGGGCGACCUGGAGCAAAACUCACAAAGUACGUCUCAGUUCAGAUUGGAGUCUGCAACUCGACUCCAUGAAGGCGGAAUCGCUAGUAAUCGCGGAUCAGCAUGCCGCGGUGAAUACGUUCUCGGGGUUU